rnacentral:lncRNA from 10 species
ACAUUUGUUUAACAGCACUGCAUGAUGAACUCACAGUGUUUUACCUCCAGGACUGAAAGUCCUUAAUUUGUUCUUUGAGGAACAGUCUGUUUUCAUCAAGAGACACGCUUUCGUUGAUCAAGCAAUUCUACAGAGAGUGACAUUAAAGAAAAAGAAUCUGGGGAUAAGGGUUAGCAGGGAAGUAUCUGCCCAGUACCCAUGAAAACAUAGCAGUUCUCAUUUUCCAAUUAAACACAUUUAUUAAUUUUUAAAUGAAGUUUUCAGAAUAUGCCUACAUCCAGCACAAUAGCAAUCUCUAGGGCAAGGAAAAAAAUGAAACAAAAGCGAUGAAAAAAAAAUGAUGUGAAUUUGUAGCAAGUGCUGUGUUUAAGGGAAGUAAUUUAAGUGUCAAGGAAUAUAUAACACAUUUAAAAUAUGCUUUUGGUAAAAUAUUACUGUCUGUUUAGGAAUUAUCUAUUAUAAUUUUUCUGAAUCCAAUUUAAAUAUAUAAUGGGGUGAAAUAUACGUACAAUAUACUUCUAAUUGCUUUUCUAAUUAGUAUGAGAAUCCCUCUUAGGAAAUACUUUUAUGUACCAUUCAAUGCUUAUUUAUUCUUUAUCCACUACAUGUCAGCCACUACUUUCAGACACCGGAGACACAGGGCUGAAAUGAUCAAUCCUCUCUCCCCACGUGGAGCCUGCAUUCUAGUCUGAGCUCAUCUUGACAAACCACCUGAAGUGAAAGUGAGGUUCUGAAGGUUUAGGUGAGGAAAUAACAAAAGAGAUUCAUGACAAGCUUAGCAUAAGAAAGGGACAGGAAUUUAGAGCAGGGAUGCGCAUAAAAACAAAUAGAAGUUAAGAGUUUCAGAGGAAAGAGAAGACCAAGUAAUAAGGUGAAAAGUUUAAGCCUGGGAUAGAGAAAAUGACUUAAAAAAAAAAAAAACCUGAAAAGCUAGAUCUUCUAAUACCCAAUUUCAAAAUAUCUGUUGAGCAGCAAUAUGUGUAAAGACCUUCACCAUUACAUGAGAAUAACCACAACAAUCUACUGUAUGACAGGAGCAAUCACCAGACAUUCUACAGAAGCUGGAAACUACAGCAGAGAUAUCUAGGUAAACAUUUAGCCACAGGAAAACUCAGAAACUCCGAUACAGAAUUUGAAAUGAAAAUCUGUGCUGAUUUUAACAGGCACAAUGGAGAUCUGUGCUAAGAUACAUUAUAGACUCUGUCUCUCUUUUUCUCUCUCUCUCUCUCUCCUCUCUGCCUUUCCUCUCUCUCCUCUCUCUUUUUUCCUGUAUGUCCAUACACAUGUGUAUUUGUAUACAAAAUAAUUAAAUUAAAAUGAGCAUUUAAAUUUGAAUUCCAAAUUCAGAAGCCAAGCAUUUCUAUUCAGUUUUUUAAGUUGUAAAAUUGGUUAUGCCUGGCUCUACCUGAUCUUGCAGAACUUCAGUGUUCCCAUCUUGUGCAAUAGGGAGUUUCUCUUUCUACUCUAGAUAGAGUGCAGCUCUAAAAACCAAAUUAAACAAUACAUAUUAAAGCAAUUUGUAGAUUACCACCUGCUACACAAGUAAUGAUGGCAAUAACUUUGUUUUUGUACAGCUAUGAACUCUUUAUAAAGCUCUUUCUCAUAUAUCAUCUUCUUUUCUGUUCAAAACCACUCUGCCAGUUAGACCUUAUUGAUCCCAUUGAAAGAAAGGCAAUAAAACAAAGCUCUGAGAGGCUGAGUAUCCCAAAGUCACACAACAAGUAAAUGGCCCAGAGACCACUUCCUGCUUUAAGAGCAUCACUUUUCCAUAAUACACAUUUUCUUUUGGCCUUUCAACCAGAAUUCAGAUAAUCUUCAGUAGCCUCAGCUUCCCGGAACCCAUCUUUCCUUCUGGUCAGAGUGUGUGAGCUCUAUGAAAUGACACAGUGUCGGAGAUCUUGAACUAUGCAAUAUUUCUAUUUAGUGAAAAACAAAUAUCCAGGGGUACGGAGAAGGUACACUAAAAAGAGGAAGGAAAGGAGAAAAUGUUGAAGUUCAAAACAGAGCUCCUACCAUGCUGGGUAAUUGCUUUGCAUAGUUUUUUUAGGCAGAAAUUAUAGAUCCAUAAUAUGCUAAUGAACAUUCACACUCACAGUGUGCACUGUAAUGACUCCAGUGGAAAAGCUCAUAGCUUCCAUUCAGUCCUGAAUAGGCUGCCAAAUGUGAUCAUAC